GCCAGGUGUGGUGGUGCAUGCCUGUGGUCCCAGGUACUUGGGAUGCUGAGGUGGGAGGAUUGCUUGAGCCCAGGAGUUCAAGGCUGCGGUGAGCUGUGAUUCAGCCACCGUACUACAGCCUGGGCAACAGAGCAAGACCCUGUCUCAA
rnacentral:SRP_RNA from 1 species